AGUGAACGCUGGCGGUAGGCCUAACACAUGCAAGUCGAACGGCAGCACAGUAAGAGCUUGCUCUUACGGGUGGCGAGUGGCGGACGGGUGAGGAAUACAUCGGAAUCUACUUUUUCGUGGGGGAUAACGUAGGGAAACUUACGCUAAUACCGCAUACGACCUACGGGUGAAAGCAGGGGAUCUUCGGACCUUGCGCGAUUGAAUGAGCCGAUGUCGGAUUAGCUAGUUGGCGGGGUAAAGGCCCACCAAGGCGACGGUCCGUAGCUGGUCUGAGAGGAUGAUCGGCCACACUGGAACUGAGACACGGUCCAGACUCCUACGGGAGGCAGCAGUGGGGAAUAUUGGACAAUGGGCGCAAGCCUGAUCCAGCCAUACCGCGUGGGUGAAGAAGGCCUUCGGGUUGUAAAGCCCUUUUGUUGGGAAAGAAAAGCAGCAGGUUAAUACCCCGCUGUUCUGACGGUACCCAAAGAAUAAGCACCGGCUAACUUCGUG
rnacentral:rRNA from 1 species